AAUCCAUAGGUUAAUGAGGCGAACCGGGGGAACUGAAACAUCUAAGUACCCCGAGGAAAAGAAAUCAACCGAGAUUCCCCCAGUAGCGGCGAGCGAACGGGGAGGAGCCCAGAGCCUGAAUCAGCAUGUGUGUUAGUGGAAGCGUCUGGAAAGGCGCGCGAUACAGGGUGACAGCCCCGUACACAAAAGCGCAUGUGCUGUGAGCUCGAUGAGUAGGGCGGGACACGUGGUAUCCUGUCUGAAUAUGGGGGGACCAUCCUCCAAGGCUAAAUACUCCUGACUGACCGAUAGUGAACCAGUACCGUGAGGGAAAGGCGAAAAGAACCCCGGCGAGGGGAGUGAAAAAGAACCUGAAACCGUGUACGUACAAGCAGUGGGAGCACAGGUUUACCUGUGUGACUGCGUACCUUUUGUAUAAUGGGUCAGCGACUUAUAUUCUGUAGCAAGGUUAACCGAAUAGGGG
rnacentral:rRNA from 4 species